rnacentral:lncRNA from 1 species
CGUUAGCCUAAGUGAUGCUUUGCUCAGCGGUGAGAGUCACAGUGAGUUUGGUACCACAAACCUCUCUAACAACAUCAUCAUUUUUCAACUGAUAAAGACGACAAACAUGCAAAGUAUCCAGAAUCCUCGAUCCUGACGGUUGCAUCGUAUUCGAUUCCCAAAAACCAAACUGCUUCACCUGCAUGGGAACUCCUAAUGAUGCGGCGGUUGCUAUAGUAACGAGAGGGAUACCUGAGUUGGCUGCUGGCUGUGUGCCAGGAGCUAAACCGUCUCCAUGCUGAGAGUAAAACCUGUAGAAGCAUCGAUAUCAUGCCGAGGAAAGCUGAUGUGAUCAAAGUGGAGGAGGUUGGGAUUGAGGUAGAAGGAGAUGUCAGUGACAUGGACGAUGGCGAUAACAAGAAGAAAAAAACGAAUGGCAGAGGAGCUCCAGGAAAAGGAGGAGGAAGGGCAAGAGGCCGAAGAACAUCACCAGUCAGUGAGGAUGAGGACGAUGAGGAAGAUACACCACCAAGACCUCGAAGGGCAGGAGAACGUAGGAGGGCAGCCAGGAAAGAGGGAGACGAAGAUGAAGACGACAACAAGGCUUCCAAGAAGAAGAGAGGAGGAGCGGCCAAUAGGAGGAG